rnacentral:rRNA from 1 species
CAGUCGCCACGGGAAAACAGAGGGUGCAAGCGUUAAUCGGAAUUACUGGGCGUAAAGCGCGCGUAGGUGGUUUGUUAAGUUGGAUGUGAAAUCCCCGGGCUCAACCUGGGAACUGCAUCCAAAACUGGCAAGCUAGAGUAUGGUAGAGGGUGGUGGAAUUUCCUGUGUAGCGGUGAAAUGCGUAGAUAUAGGAAGGAACACCAGUGGCGAAGGCGACCACCUGGACUGAUACUGACACUGAGGUGCGAAAGCGUGGGGAGCAAACAGGAUUAGAUACCCCCGUAGUCCCUGUCUCUUAUAC